AUGCUCAAAAUUCUCCAAGCCAGGCUUCAACAAUAUGUGAACCAUGAACUUCCUGAUGUUCAAGCUGGUUUUAGAAAAGACAGAGGAACGAGAAAUCAAAUUGCCAACAUCUGCUGGAUCAUGAAAAAAGCAAGAGACUUCAAGAAAACCAUCUAUUUCCGCUUUAUUGACUAUGCCAGAGCCUUUGACUGUGCAGAUCACAAUAAACUGUGGAAAAUUCUGAAAGAGAUGGAAAUACCAGACCACCUGACCUGCCUCCUGAGAAAUCUGUAUGCAGGUCAGGAAGCAACAGUUAGAACUGGACAUGAAACAACAGACUGGUUCCAAGUAGGAAAAGGAGUACGUCAAGGCUGUAUAUUGUCACCCUGCUUAUUUAACUUCUAUGCAGAGUACAUCAUGAGAAAUGCUGGGCUGGAAGAAACAGAAGCUGGAAUCAAGAUUGCUGGGAGAAAUAUCAAUAACCUCAGAUAUGCAGAUGACACCACCCUUAUGGCAGAAAGUGAAGAGGAACUUAAAAGCCUCUUGAUGAAAGUGAAAGAGGAGAGCGAAAAAGUUGGCUUAAAGCUCAACAUUCAGAAAACGAAGAUCAUGGCAUCUGGUCCCAUCACUUCAUGGGAAAUAGAUGGAGAAACAGUGGAAACGGUGUCAGACUUUAUUUUUGAGGGCUCCAAAAUCAUUGCAGAUGGUGAUUGCAGCCAUGAAAUUAAAAGACGCUUACUCCUUGGAAGAAAAGCUAUGACCAACCUAGAUAGUAUAUUCAAAAGCAGAGACAUUACUUUGCCGACUAAAGUCCAUCUAGUCAAGGCUAUGAUUUUUCCUGUGGCCAUGUAUGGAUGUGAGAGUUGGACUGUGAAGAAGGCUGAGCACCUAAGAAUUGAUGCUUUUGAACUGUGUUGUUGGAGAAGACUCUUGAGAGUCCCUUGGACUGCAAGGAGAUCCAACCAGUUCAUUCUGAAGGAGAUCAGCCCUGGGAAUUCUUUGGAAGGAAUGAUGCUAAAGCUGAAACUCCAGUACUUUGGCCCCCUCAUGUGA
rnacentral:lncRNA from 1 species